CUCGUCGUGGCCGAGUGGUUAAGGCGACAGACUAGAAAUCUGUUGGGCUCUGCCCGCACAGGUUCGAAUCCUGUCGGCGACG
rnacentral:tRNA from 1 species